rnacentral:misc_RNA from 1 species
GGCUGGGGAGUGGCUCACGUCUGUUGCCAGUAAUACGCAACUCUCUGACAGUGUACAUUCUCCGCUAUAGCCUGCGUUGCUAUUCUUCAUUUUCUCAGGAAUAUUAUUGAAGACGUAUCAAAACCUAAUAGUUGUAGAGAUAAAUAUGCUUGAACUACCGUAACAAAGCUAAUAAAUGUAAUGGAAUAUGGUAUGCGGUCAUAUAAUUAUAUAUUCAAGUACAAAAGCUUCAUAUCCCGUACUCAUAUAGCUUCUACAUCUAAACAAACUGCAAUUUGCAAGUGGUAGAUCUACCUGCAUGUAGCUAAGCGUGUUUCGUCUUCGGAACAGUUCACUUGUUGGAACACCUCUCUAUCCAGUAAAAGGUAAAUUAUAUAACAUCAUCUCAGUGAUAGUUCCUGCGUAAUGACAAAUAAGUUACGAAAAACAAACCAACAUGCAAAAGGAAACAAGCUUACCGUCCUCAGCGUCGCCACUCCUCCGACCACAAGUUCCACAGUGUAUCGUCCACAGUUAUGUUAACUAUCUACACACAAGCAAUGAUACAAAAGCGGCAGAUCAGGAAUUAAUACCAUCUUGCAUACGUGGGGAGAUUGAAGAAGCUAUCAACUUAAGACCGAUGACAACAGAAGACAGAGAAGAGAUUCAAUACGAGGAAGAAGAGAAGAGUGCGAAAAAUGAAGAAAAUAUAAGAAUAGCUGGUCCUGACGGCGGCUGGUCAUGGGUGGUACUGCUCGGAGCUUUUGUUGUCAUGACGCUGGUGUCAACGGUGGGACCGUGCUUCAGCCUGGUGUUCUCGAAGCUUCUGUUAGCCCUGGGCUCCUCCUCUAUCACAGUCGCGUGGAUCUUCAAUAUCUUCAGCCUGGUAUGGAACGUGGUGGGGCCGGUGGUGGGGCCGCUCACAGCAGAGGUGGGACACCGAAAGGUGGCCAUGGUGGGCUCCCUCAUGAUGGCCGCCGCCCUCAUCAUCUCCUCUUUCGCCUUCUCCACUUGGCACUUACUACUUUGCUUCUCUGUUCUCGGAGGUCUUGGUGCUGGCCUGGUCGUCACUACUAGCGUCCUCAUCGUCCCUCUUUACUUCACACAUCGUCUUGGUCGAGCCAAUGGUGUCUUCAUGGCCGGCACCAGUGUUGGACAGUUCAUCGCACCACACCUCAUCACUUUCCUGCAGGACAGAUAUGCCUUCACGGGAGCCACGCUUAUCCUUGGAGCCAUCGUCCUAAACACCAGCGUGGCUGCCGCAACUUUUCACCCAGUAUCUUGGCACACUGGUCAUCUGGAUUGUGAAACUGGAAAGCCAUUCCCGGAAAAAGUCUUCCUUCGUCAGUCUGCUUCCAGUCGUCAGCUAAACAGCAAUCUGGCAUCUUCAAAUCAAGUUACGUCUAACAGAAAGUCGAGGAAAAUGAAUGGAUUGCUCUUACGCGUUGCCCAGUCAACAUUACGCGACUUGGGCAUCCUGAGGUCUCCAAGAGCUCUGAUUAUUGCUGUCAGUAGCACAUUAGUAGUCAAUGGUUACCUAAACUUUAUAAUGAUGGUCCCUUUCAUGGUGCAGGAGGCUGGCCACUCCCCACAGUCAUCGGCAUGGUGUGUGUCUGUGUCCGGUGUCUUUAACCUGCUUACCCGCCUGGCUAUGUCUGCCUUCUCAGAGUGCCCCUGCUUCAACAUGCAUAUUUGUUACGUCGUUGGGAUCUUCACCAUCGCUGCCUCCAGUUUAGGUAGGAUGCCAAGCAGUCUUUCUGUAUUUCAGGUUACAUCUUGUCCCGCUUAGCAGAAAUCAAAGAAAAUGCCCCUUGUAAAUUUUGGUAACAGCAAAUAGUGCGGAUCACACACUCGUCAACAAACCUAAUACAGUAUCCUGUAAACAGUACAGUACUGUAUUCAAGUACAGUACAGUAUAUUGUGCCAUUUUAGUUCCAGUGACCCCUUAUAAAGAAUCUCAGAAUCAUAUUUAAGAUAUUCUCUAAUUUCAUAAAUCAUUUUAUCCUUUUAAGAAGACAAAAGUUAACUAUCUUUUCAUUAAAAAAGGCGUUAAUCAUAUAUCUAUAGUUAGAUCAUAAAAGCAGAGUUAUGCCAUCACUCUUCUAUCAAAAAUUUGCCAUUAGUCUGUAAGAGGUGAGGCUUGAUUGUGACAGUAUACAGAGACAAAUCCCUGCUGCUAAUGGUCACAAAUAUCAGCAUGGAAAACACUGUAAACUCAUUAUUUAUCCAGGUUUUAAACAAUAAGCCUCAGAUUAACUAAAAUAUGGGUAACAUAUUGGCGAGAAUCAUACACUGAAUUACUUAAUAUAAUAAAAUUAGAGAACACAUAAUUAUACAAGAACAAGUAAAGGAACAAACAAAAUGCAUGAAACCACAGCCUAAAUUAACCGAAACCAUAACUUCAGUCUUACCAUACACUAAUCUCCAUAUAAAUAUAUCCUGAGUCAGGCUAGCUGCACCGCACUUGGACCAAGCCCUUACACCAAUCAGACUCCUCACUCACCUGUCUGCCCACUGCCCGGAGGAGCUGGUAGAGCAGUGACCCCCACACAGUGCUGGUGCCAGCUUUUUCGUUUUUAACAAACGCAACAUGGCUGAUGGUGGUCAUGGGAGUAUGGGGAUGUGGUGUUGGUGCCUUCAUGGGACUCUACAACCUGGUCAUGAUCCGCUACAUGGGGAUCCACAACCUACC